AGCUUACAUUAGAGUCAAAUUUUGCAAGUGAUCUGGGUUUGGACAGCUUAGAUCAUAUUGAGAUAUUGAUGGCAAUGUCGGAGGAAUUUGGUAUAGAUAUCCCAGACCAGGAUGCUGAGAGAUUAUUACGCCCUAGAGAUGUUGUAUUGUACAUACUAGAUCAAAUGUCCAAAGCCUAGUGUUGCAGGAAAAUCAGUAAAUUAUCACAAACCAACAAAAGACAGGAAUGUGCCUGUAAACAGGAGUCUGCGUGCAGUAAAUGACAUGAACAGAAUGAACAUUUUAAACUACUGUUAAGAUUAAACUGCACUUCUGCGAAUUGGAGAGGGUAUUAUUCCAGGCAGUAUUAUCAACUAACUUCUGAUGCACACUACUAUACUACCAGAACAUUCAAUAGCUAAGCACCUGGGACAUUUUUGAUGGGAACAUUUUAGAUAAAGAAAGCUGAGGUAUUUAGUUACUCUGUGCACACAGUAGUUAUGAGUACACUUUUUGUUGUUUAGGCCACACUUUUUUAUUUUUA